rnacentral:rRNA from 1 species
GAUGAACGCUGGCGGCGUGCUUAACACAUGCAAGUCGAACGGUGAACACGGAGCUUGCUCUGUGGGAUCAGUGGCGAACGGGUGAGUAACACGUGAGCAACCUGCCCCUGACUCUGGGAUAAGCGCUGGAAACGGCGUCUAAUGCUGGAUGCGAGUAGCGGCCGCAUGGUCAGUUACUGGAAAGAUUUUUUGGUUGGGGAUGGGCUCGCGGCCUAUCAGCUUGUUGGUGAGGUAAUGGCUCACCAAGGCGUCGACGGGUAGCCGGCCUGAGAGGGUGACCGGCCACACUGGGACUGAGACACGGCCCAGACUCCUACGGGAGGCAGCAGUGGGGAAUAUUGCACAAUGGGCGAAAGCCUGAUGCAGCAACGCCGCGUGAGGGAUGACGGCCUUCGGGUUGUAAACCUCUUUUAGCAGGGAAGAAGCGAAAGUGACGGUACCUGCAGAAAAAGCGCCGGCUAACUACGUGCCAGCCGCCGCCGUAA